rnacentral:rRNA from 1 species
GACGAACGCUGGCGGCGUGCCUAAUACAUGCAAGUAGAACGCUGAAGAGAGGAGCUUGCUCUUCUUGGAUGAGUUGCGAACGGGUGAGUAACGCGUAGGUAACCUGCCUUGUAGCGGGGGAUAACUAUUGGAAACGAUAGCUAAUACCGCAUAACAAUGGAUGACCCAUGUCAUUUAUUUGAAAGGGGCAAAUGCUCCACUACAAGAUGGACCUGCGUUGUAUUAGCUAGUAGGUGAGGUAACGGCUCACCUAGGCGACGAUACAUAGCCGACCUGAGAGGGUGAUCGGCCACACUGGGACUGAGACACGGCCCAGACUCCUACGGGAGGCAGCAGUAGGGAAUCUUCGGCAAUGGGGGCAACCCUGACCGAGCAACGCCGCGUGAGUGAAGAAGGUUUUCGGAUCGUAAAGCUCUGUUGUAAGUCAAGAACGAGUGUGAGAGUGGAAAGUUCACACUGUGACGGUAGCUUACCAGAAAGGGACGGCUAACUACGUGCCAGCAGCCGCGGUAAUACGUAGGUCCCGAGCGUUGUCCGGAUUUAUUGGGCGUAAAGCGAGCGCAGGCGGUUUGAUAAGUCUGAAGUUAAAGGCUGUGGCUCAACCAUAGUUCGCUUUGGAAACUGUCAAACUUGAGUGCAGAAGGGGAGAGUGGAAUUCCAUGUGUAGCGGUGAAAUGCGUAGAUAUAUGGAGGAACACCGGUGGCGAAAGCGGCUCUCUGGUCUGUAACUGACGCUGAGGCUCGAAAGCGUGGGGAGCGAACAGG